AAUCAACGCUGGCGGCGCGCUAACACAUGCAAGUCGAACGGGAAAGUGGAGCAAUCCAUGAGUACAGUGGCGUACGGGUGAGUAACACGUGGGUAAUCUACCUCUUUGUGUGGAAUAACCCUGGGAAACCGGGGCUAAUACCGCAUAAGCUCGAGAGAGGAAAGCAGCAAUGCGCUGAGAGAGGAGCCCGCGGCCGAUUAGCUAGUUGGUAGGGUAAAAGCCUACCAAGGCAUAGAUCGGUAGCCGGCCUGAGAGGGCACACGGCCACACUGGCACUGAAACACGGGCCAGACUCCUACGGGAGGCAGCAGUGGGGAAUCUUGCACAAUGGGGGCAACCCUGAUGCAGCGACGCCGCGUGAGCGAUGAAGCCCCUCGGGGUGUAAAGCUCUUUCGGCAGGGAAGAUUAUGACGGUACCUGCAGAAGCAGCUGCGGCUAACUACGUGCCAGCAGCCGCGGUAAUACGUAGGCAGCAAGCGUUGUUCGGAGUUACUGGGCGUAAAGGGUGUGUAGGCGGUCUUCUAAGUUUGGUGUGAAAUCUCCCGGCUUAACUGGGAGGGUGCGCCGAAUACUGAAA
rnacentral:rRNA from 1 species